rnacentral:rRNA from 1 species
CCUACGGGGGGCAGCAGUGAGGAAUAUUGGUCAAUGGGCGGAAGCCUGAACCAGCCAAGUCGCGUGAGGGAUUAAGGCCCUACGGGUCGUAAACCUCUUUUGCCGGGGAGCAAGGGCGGGCACGUGUCCCGGCCCGGAGAGUACCUGGAGAAAAAGCAUCGGCAAACUCCGUGCCAGCAGCGGCGGUAAUACGGGGGAUGCGAGCGUUAUCCGGAUUUAUUGGGUUUAAAGGGUGCGUAGGCGGGCUUUUAAGUCAGCGGGAAAGAUUCGGGGCUAAACCCCGUCCGGCCGUUGAAACUGGGGGCCUUGAGUGGGCGAGAAGAAGGGGGAAUGCGUGGUGUAGCGGUGAAAGGCAUAGAAAUCA